GGCGCGGUAGCUAAGUGGUAAGGCAGAGGUCUGCAAAACCUUUAUUCGCCGGUUCGAUUCCGGCCCGCGCCUCCA
rnacentral:tRNA from 1 species